rnacentral:piRNA from 1 species
UUAUUAUUUUUGUCGAACUUC